rnacentral:sRNA from 1 species
UUGGUUACUAUUCAGUGAUCUCUACUCCAGUUAUAUAUUAUACAAGAUUUUAACCCGCGGUACACCGCGGAAACAAUUUAUUUUUUAAAGUUAGUAUAUAUAAAAAUUUAUAAAUUGUAUUUACAACUUUUAUUAAGUAACGUCCUGCCAAACCCGUCCCGCAAAAUUCGUCCUGCAAAAAAACCCAUUUAUUUUAUUAAUAUUGAUCUUAUUUAUGAAUCAUUGUCUAAAUAUUUUAGUCGAUGCGGGAUGUUGAACCCACACAUUUUUUGCCAAUUGGUUAAUAUAUGUUCAUUUUUAAAAUUUUGAAUCACAAAAUAUGACGGAAUUUUUUUUGAAAUUUUUUUAAACUAUAUAUUAUAUAAUGAUGUUAAAUUUUUUGAUAUAUUAAACUUUUUAUAAGUUUAAAUAUUAAUAAUGUUUUAUAAAGUUUAAAUAUAUAAAUAAUAAUAUUUAAAAAAUAUAUUU